AUUGAACGCUGGCGGCAUGCUUUACACAUGCAAGUCGAACGGUAACAGGCCGCAAGGUGCUGACGAGUGGCGAACGGGUGAGUAAUGCAUCGGAACGUGCCCAGUCGAGGGGGAUAACGCAGCGAAAGCUGCGCUAAUACCGCAUACGAUCUAUGGAUGAAAGCGGGGGACCGUAAGGCCUCGCGCGAUUGGAGCGGCCGAUGUCAGAUUAGGUAGUUGGGGGGGUAAAGGCUCACCAAGCCAACGAUCUGUAGCUGGUCUGAGAGGACGACCAGCCACACUGGGACUGAGACACGGCCCAGACUCCAACGGGAGGCAGCAGUGGGGAAUCUUGGACAAUGGGCGCAAGCCUGAUCCAGCAAUGCCGCGUGCAGGAAGAAGGCCUUCGGGUUGUAAACUGCUUUUGUACGGAACGAAACGGUCCUGGUUAAUACCCGGGGCUAAUGACGGUACCGUAAGAAUAAGCACCGGCUAACUACGUGCCAGCCGCCGCCGUAACAC
rnacentral:rRNA from 1 species